CUCACUGCCUGCAGCACCACGAGGAGCCUGCUGAGUGAGUGCUGGGGGAGGACAACUGAGCUUCUCUGGGAUAAUGUCCUGGAUGCUUCUGCAUGGCCAUGGAAUAAGGUCCAGCUGACAAGCAAGACUGGGGGAGCUGUGGAAGAAAAGUGCCCAGAGGAGAAGAAGGGAUACAGUGCAGUCAGCUGGAGGUUUUAUUGGAAGCCACACACACCCAGGGUUGAAAGGAUGAAGGGAACGUAAUUCAGCAGAUUCCUUUGGAGCAAACGUUGUUCUCCUGGCUGAUAGAGGGACCAGGAAAAAUGGUGAUCAACAUAUAAUCUCCACAGCUAUGGCUGAGAAGUGCAGUUAAG